rnacentral:rRNA from 1 species
AUAAAAAACCAACGCCCUUCGGGGCUCCUUGGUGAAUCAUAAUAACUUAACGAAUCGCAUGGCCUUGCGCCGGCGAUGGUUCAUUCAAAUUUCUGCCCUAUCAACUUUCGAUGGUAGGAUAGUGGCCUACCAUGGUGGCAACGGGUAACGGGGAAUUAGGGUUCGAUUCCGGAGAGGGAGCCCGAGAAACGGCUACCACAUCCAAGGAAGGCAGCAGGCGCGCAAAUUACCCAAUCCCGAUACGGGGAGGUAGUGACAAUAAAUACUGAUACGGGGCUCUUUUGGGUCUCGUAAUUGGAAUGAGAACAAUUUAAAUCCCUUAACGAGGAACAAUUGGAGGGCAAGUCUGGUGCCAGCAGCCGCGGUAAUUCCAGCUCCAAUAGCGUAUAUUAAAGUUGUUGCAGUUAAAAAGCUCGUAGUUGAACCUUGGGCCUGGCUGGUCGGUCCGCCUCACCGCGAGUACUGAUCCGGCUGGGCCUUUCCUUCUGGGGAACCUCAUGGCCUUCACUGGCUGUGG